rnacentral:rRNA from 1 species
UACGUAGGCAGCGAGCGUUGUUCGGAAUUGCUGGGCGUAAAGAGUGUGUAGGCGGUGCUCUAAGUUCGGUGUGAAAUCUCCUGGCUUAACUGGGAGGGUGCGCCGGAAACUGGGGUGCUCGAGCGUGGGAGAGGAAAGCGGAAUUCCUGGUGUAGCGGUGAAAUGCGUAGAUAUCAGGAGGAACACCUGUGGUGUAGACAGCUUUCUGGACCAUUGCUGACGCUGAGACACGAAAGCGUGGGUAGCAAACAGG